rnacentral:sRNA from 1 species
GCAUGGUUUUCUAUUAUCUGGAUUUGUACGAAUUGCCGCAUUGUUCGGAUUUUUCAGAAAAUUUCCAUUUUUCUGUUGACAAGUGAAAAUAAGUAGGGUAUCAUUGUAAAUAAUUAAAAUACUGAAAGGAAAAAGUCAAAUGAAACCUGUCACUACAAAAUUCUUUGCUUUGUUGUUGCGACGGUCGGGCUAGUGCACUAGGUAGCAUUAGUCCUGUUUGGCUUACCAAGCGGGCGCUGUUGACAACAUCUCGCAGGUAAUAGUCCUCGAGGUGUUUUCU